UACGAAGGGGGCUAGCGUUGCUCGGAAUCACUGGGCGUAAAGGGUGCGUAGGCGGGUCUUUAAGUCAGGGGUGAAAUCCUGGAGCUCAACUCCAGAACUGCCUUUGAUACUGAAGAUCUUGAGUUCGGGAGAGGUGGGUGGAACUGCGAGUGUAGAGGUGAAAUUCGUAGAUAUUCGCAAGAACACCAGUGGCGAAGGCGGCUCACUGGCCCGAUACUGACGCUGAGGCGCGAAACGUGGGGAGCAACAGG
rnacentral:rRNA from 1 species